rnacentral:snoRNA from 1 species
CACCAAUUAAGCCAACCAGGCGUCUUUCUCCGUUGAAGCCUUGUGUGGCUGUGAACAGCAGCCUCCUUGGAAGUGUGUACCCCAUUGCCUACAUGGAUUGUCCUAAGGGAUCUUGGGGACAGUU